UACGGAGGGUGCAAGCGUUGUCCGGAUUUAUUGGGUUUAAAGGGUGCGUAGGCGGCAGAUUAAGUCAGCGGUGAAAUUCCACAGCUCAACUGUGGAACUGCCAUUGAUACUGGUUUGCUUGAGUACAGAUGAGGUAGGCGGAAUUGACAGUGUAGCGGUGAAAUGCUUAGAUAUGACAUAGAACACCUAAUUGCGAAGGCAGCUAACUACGGAAAUAUUGACGCUGAGGCACGAAAGCGUGGGGAGUCAAACAGGA
rnacentral:rRNA from 1 species